GCAAGUCGAACGAGAAAGCACUUCGGUUCGAGUACAGUGGCGGACGGGUGAGUAACGCGUGGGAAUCUGCACAGUAGUGGGGGACAACUCGAGGAAACUCGAACUAAUACUGCAUACGCCCUAAGGGGGAAAGGCUUCGGCCGCUAUUGGAUGAGCCCGCGUCGGAUUAGCUUGUUGGUAGGGUAAUGGCCUACCAAGGCAACGAUCCGUAGCUGGUCUGAGAGGACGAGC
rnacentral:rRNA from 1 species